CACUAUAAUGUUCUAAUUUAUCAUCACUGUUUUUUGCGGCUAACAAUUUAAAGGCGACUACGAUGCUCUUCAAACCUGGCCAUUUCAAAAGAAGAUUACCAUGAUGCUCUUGGAUCAAGGUAAUGGAGAUCACAUGAUCGAUGCCUUUCACUCUGAUCCUCAGAGUUCAUCUUUUCAAUGCCCGAAGUCUGACAUGAAUAUAGCAUCAGGCUCACCAUUGUUUAUGCCUCUUGAUAGUUUAAAUAAUCGUCAGUAUAUCAAAGAUGAUGUUAUGUUCAUUAAAAUUAUCGUGGAUUAAACAGGUCGGAAUUUUGUCGCUAUAAAUGAAAUUAAUUUCAGAUAAAUAAUAGCGGCAAGAUUCCGAUAUUUUUCGCUGCCUAUUUAUAUGAUAGCACAGCAUGCAAGGUGAUCCAAAAUUAAUCUUAAGCGCAUGUUUUCCGAAGAUGAACAAACAAACAACACAUUGUUUCCCAGCCAUGAUUCCGAAGGUAGUCGAACCAGGAAACAUUGUUUCUGAGUCAUGUUUCCCGAAGUUAAAAAAAAAAAAAAAUUUGGAUCCGCAAGAUUUUUUGCAAUGACCAACUGGGGGAAACAUGAGGAGAAAGAUCGAAAUUAUCAAUUGCCCAGGGCUAAAAGCACAGCAAACAGUCUUGUUUUUAAAAUGCAGGCGUUGUCAAGUAGCAGAAGCAAGAAUCUACCACGAACAUAUCGUAGUUGAAGAUUUCAAAAGUUUUAAUUGUAUUCGGGUUUUUUCUUCGAACGUUUCUUCUUAAGUAUCUUUGAAAUUUGGUCUUUUUCUUAAACAAGCAUGGUUUUCAUUGGAACAAGUUCGAGCGACCACGUUCAUUUGGAUGCCUUUUUCUAUACUCUUUUCUUUGGUGUUAUACGGGCUUGAAUAUUUAGCUUCUGUGUGGUACCCGUUGCAUUUCCUUAUCAUUACUUUGUAGUUUUGGGAUAAACUUAUGGAAUACAAUCUUUAAGAAGUGUUUUUCUUUGUAGACUUUGUUCUGUGUCGUUUAGUAGCCAGAUGAUGUUUCUUUUCAGAGAUUGAUGUUGUUCUAUGGACCAGAUCAUUCAUUACUAGGAUUAACCAAUAAGAGAGUUUUGUUUCGUAAUCUUUAUCCCGUAUGAAUAAGUAAUCCUUUUAAGUUUCUUUUUUUGUUUGUGGUAAUUCAUUGUCCCUACACCGACCC